CCUCCAUUCCCAGGGGCUGGUCCAUGGGGAUGUUGCCGCUCGGAAUCUCUUGAUCCAAGAUGAUCUCCACGUGCGGAUCACCGGAUUGCAGAUUCCCUUCGAGAUCCAGACGCAGGGACUGGUCACCUCCCAUCGCAGGGUCCCCCUCAAGUGGCAGGCCCCUGAGACCCUCAUGAGGAAGCCCCUCACUCCCAACUCCGACACGUGGUCCUUCGGCGUCCUGCUGUACGAACUUAUCACUCUGGGCUCGCCGCCCUACCCUGACGUAGCGCCCCAGUUCCGUCCUUCAGCACCUCCAGAGGGGGACGCCGAAUGCCUCAGCCCUCGAAUUGCAAAUCCCCGCUGUACUCUCUGAUGAGGCAGUGCUGGCUGUGGAGGGUCGAGGCUCGGCCCGGCGCCCUCGAGCUCAGGAAGCGCCUCCUCGUCCAGAUGGAGCGAGCGGCCGACUCCGUCGUCCUCCGAGUGGCCGCGAGGGUCGACCCAGAGGAAUAUCACCGCCAGGCCGGGACGUGGGAGCUGGAGAGGAGCCUGGGCUACACUGUGCUGUAGGGCGAGGGGGCAGGGAAAGUGGAGGAGAGAGGGAAUGAGGAAGGAGGGAGGA